rnacentral:rRNA from 1 species
AUUGAACGCUGGCGGCAUGCUUUACACAUGCAAGUCGAACGGUAACAGGCCGCAAGGCGCUGACGAGUGGCGAACGGGUGAGUAAUGCAUCGGAACGUGCCCAGUCGUGGGGGAUAACGCAGCGAAAGCUGCGCUAAUACCGCAUACGAUCUCUGGAUGAAAGCGGGGGACCGAAAGGCCUCGCGCGAUUGGAGCGGCCGAUGUCAGAUUAGGUAGUUGGUGGGGUAAAGGCCCACCAAGCCAACGAUCUGUAGCUGGUCUGAGAGGACGACCAGCCACACUGGGACUGAGACACGGCCCAGACUCCUACGGGAGGCAGCAGUGGGGAAUUUUGGACAAUGGGCGCAAGCCUGAUCCAGCAAUGCCGCGUGCAGGAAGAAGGCCUUCGGGUUGUAAACUGCUUUUGUACGGAACGAAACGAUCCGGGUUAAUACCCUGGGCUAAUGACGGUACCGUAAGAAUAAGCACCGGCUAACUACGUGCCAGCCGCCGCCGUAAAAC